AGAAUAUUAGUAUAAGGUUAUUAUUUUUGAUUUUCGAUUAAAAGAUUUUAUAUUAUU
rnacentral:tRNA from 1 species